AAAAGCCUGGACGGUGCGAGUUUUCAUAAAUGCCGGCCCGAACAGUUCAGAAAUCGGAUGUCAAGGUUAUUUCGGUGUGAAUGCUUAUCUUUGAAUAAGAAUCCUAAAGAAAUAGCAAAAAGAGAUAUCCACCAUUAAUUAAUGCGGUUGUCGCAUACGAUAUCGGCCAUCCGGGUUGUUA
rnacentral:other from 1 species